rnacentral:rRNA from 1 species
GACGAACGCUGGCGGCGUGCUUAACACAUGCAAGUCGAACGGAAAGGCCCUGCUUUUGUGGGGUGCUCGAGUGGCGAACGGGUGAGUAACACGUGAGUAACCUGCCCUUGACUUUGUGAUAACUUCAGGAAACUGGGGCUAAUACAGGAUAGGAUCUACUGCUGCAUGGUGGGGGUUGGAAAGAUUCGGCGGUUGUGGAUGGACUCGCGGCGUAUCAGCUUGUUGGUGAGGUAGUGGCUUACCAAGGCUUUGACGGGUAGCCGGCCUGAGAGGGUGACCGGCCACACUGGAACGGAGACACGGACCAGACGCCGGAGGGAGGCAGCAGUAGGGAAUCGUCCGCAAUGGGCGAGAGCCUGACGGAGCAGCGCCGCGUGAGUGAUGAAGGUCUUGGGAGCGUGAAGCUCUGUUAUUAGGGAAGAACAAAUGUGUAAGGAAAUAUGCACGUCUUGACGGUACCUAAUCAGAAAGCAACGGCUAACUACGUG